CUAUCAGCUAGAGUUGUGGGAGGAGGAAGAUGGAAUUAGUUGUGUAGGGGUAAAAUCCGUAGAGAUAACUAGGAAUACCAAAAGCGAAGGCAAUCUUCUGGAACACUACUGACGCUGAGGCGCGAAGGCGUGGGGAGCAAACAGGAUUAGAUACCCUGGUAGUCCACGCAGUAAACGAUGAAUGUUAGUCGUCGGGGGCCUAGUGUCUUCGGUGAUGCAGCUAACGCAUUAAACAUUCCGCCUGGGGAGUACGGUCGCAAGAUUAAAACUCAAAGGAAUAGACGGGGACCCGCACAGGUGGUGGAGCAUGUGGUUUAAUUCGAAGAUACGCGAAGAACCUUACCUAGCCUUGACAUAUUUUAGAACUCCGUAGAGAUACAGAGGUGCCUUCGGGAGCUAAUUUACAGGUGCUGCACGGCUGUCGUCAGCUCGUGUCGUGAGAUGUUGGGUUAAGUCCCGCAACGAGCGCAACCCUCGUCACUAGUUACUAACGGUUCGGCCGAGGACUCUAGUGAGACUGCCUUCGUAAGGAGGAGGAAGGUGAGGACGACGUCAAGUCAUCAUGGCCCUUACGGCUAGGGCAACACACGUGCUACAAUGGCCAGGACAGUGAGACGCGAUACCGUGAGGUGGAGCAAAUCUAUAAACCUGGUCUCAGUUCGGAUUGUAGUCUGCAACUCGACUACAUGAAGCUGGAAUCACUAGUAAUCGUAGAUCAGCUAUGCUACGGUGAAUACGUUCCCGGGUCUUGUACUCACCGCCCGUCACACCAUGGGAGUUGGUUGUACCAGAAGUCGUUGGGCCAACCCCGUUCUGCGGGGAGGCAGGCGCCUAAGGUAUGGCUGAUGAUUGGGGUGAAGUCGUAACAAGGUAACC
rnacentral:rRNA from 1 species